UCGUUUGAUUUCUUUUUUCAAACAUAACAAAUGUCAAACAUUUCAAAAAUGUUUGUUAAAAAUCGUUUUACAUCGCCGAAAAUUGUUACGUUUAUUCCAUAAUUUUGUAACUCAAUAGAUUUUGUUUUGUGUUUUGAUAUGGAAUGUGAGGAAGAGGAUAACCAAGUUGGAGAACCUGCAGUGAAUUCGAUAAUACUAGAUUAUUACAAAAAGUUUGGUCGCAAGCGGGAUUUAGAGCAGUAUUUUUCUUUAUCGACAGCCCAAGGUGAUGUUAGGGACCCUACAGGUGUAUUUUGGAAAAACAUGAAGUCACAUAGUGAUUCGUCAGAUUCUGACGGAAAAAAGAGCUACUCCUCUCAGGAACUUUGUCGAAUAUCGAUAAAAUGUUCAGUGCCUGAGCCUUCUAGUUCUCAAGAUGAAAACACAAAAACCAAAUCAGAUAGUAUUUCUCCACCUAUCAUCACUGAAGAUUUGGUGGUUGAUAAUUCAAGGCAUGAUGAUGAGGAGUCUGGGAAGUCUGAAGAUGAACAUUCUCAGAAAUCUUUGGAUGUGAUGCUUGACACAUCAGCGAAUAAACCUCUAUCUCCAACAAGCAGCGUAACAUCUCAACGGAAACUGGAAUGGGAUUCCCUUGCAGAUGUUGGCUAUGGUAAUGAGAGUGAUAGAAAGACCUCUGCAUCAAGCUUGAGCACUUUAGAAAGAAUGGCAUUACAUCAACAAUACUCUAAUAAUGAUACAAAAGAAUCCCUUGGGCCUCCAACAGCUCAAUCUACUCCUUUUGAUGAAACAGACAAUAAAUCUAAAGCUAGGAAAGGAAUUGGAAGGAAGACAACAAAAUUCUAUAAGAAAGAUGUUGAUUUUGUUGAAGUAAAUGUACCUCAAGGUUCAAGUAAUGCUUCACAAGCUAUUAAUGUCAAUCUCACAAAGCAUAUAUCAUUCAAUGUUGAAAAAGAUGGUGGAGUAACUGUAGAAAACAUAAAAAAAGAUGUUAGUGUUUCACCUGAGAAGGUAUCAGUGGAAACAGAGGUAACUCCCCAAAUUAGGUUUGAUAAGGAAAUACAAACAUCUUUGACUAAAUCUAAAGAUAAAAGUACCAAUGAUACUUCCAAAACCAAACAAUUAACUAACCAAAAGGUACCAAUACUCAUUAGUUUAAAUACCUUAAAAAAUAGAUACAGAAAGAAGAAGAUAAGGAUUUCUAGAAGAAAGCUAAAGAUUCGCAAAAGAGAGAUUGUUAAGAGAUCUACUCCACCUAUCCAAGAAAGGAGUGGAGAGCAGCUGUCAGCAGCUGAGAGUUUUGAGUAUAUGCCUGGACAUAUUUACAAUCAAAAUCAUCUAAAAGGUAACCAGUCUAAAUCAGGAACCACUGUUGGAAACAAAUCAAGCCUGGAGUCCAGUGGUGGUCUCACAACUGAUUCUAGCAAAGGAUCAAAAAUUUCUUUUACCAAAGAUUUAGAAAAAAGUAUUGAUCUACUAAAAGCUGCUAUGCAAGGACGAUAUGAUGAUAAUAUCCUCAAAAAGAAGUUAGUUAAGCAAGUUGUUCAAAGACUACUUGAGACAAAAUACAGAGAUGAUGAUAGUACAACUGAUUUUUUGUCUGGGUUAAGCUUCAGUAGCAAAAAAAUAGGUUUGAGAGAUAGCAAUUCCACAAGUACAUCAGAUGCCAACAGUACUGCAACACGACCAAAGAAAUCAAUAUUAAGAAUGGACAAAUUUAAUGCAAGUGCAAUAGCCUCAACUUCACAAAGCGCGCCUAAUUUACCUGCCGCUUCCAAUAGCGAUAGACCUGUUAGAAUCGAUCUAGUUAAGCAUUUAACAUCAUCUAAUACAGAUACUGAAAUGUCUAGCAGAGAGAAGGUAUUCGACAAUUCGCUAACAAAGGCUACAUCGGAAGAAAUAUACAAGAAGUAUUUACAGGCAUUGAAGAGAGAGGAAGCAUACAAAAAACAUUUAAGGGACAAGGAAAUGUUUUUAAAACAGAAAUUGACGAAUUCUGAUUCUGCAUUUAAGGUACCAAACAGACUUGAUGUAAAUGUAAAUAAGCGAUUGAAGGAUGUUAUGAAAGAUUUAACUAGGAACAAUUAUGAUGAUGGGUCUGGAGACGCUAGUAAACUUGAAGGUGGCUCGGACAAUGCUGACUUGGAGAGAUAUGCUUCUCUCAAAGGACAUCAAAGCCACUCAGUAUUUACUCUCUCCUCUGGAAACUCUGAAUGUGCAAAUAAAAAACUAUUGAAAAAGAAACUGCAAAAUGAUAUUAAGGAUCUUUGCAAACCUGGUCCAAGUCAUUACUGUUGCUGUCCACAUCAUUCAGCUAAUAUUAAAAUUGGUGUGACAGAUAGUUCAGUUCAAGUGAAUAUAAAAGAUCAGUUUGAAGCUAAAGAAAUUGAAACGAAAGAAAACAAGGAUAAUCGGCAGAGUUGUCACGAGGAAUCGUCUCAAAACACGGCGCGCAUUGUAUCAGAUAAUGUUACUGGUGACAUAAAAUAUGUUUGUUUGUGCACAGGUGUAAAGUCACAAGAAGUUCAAGAUAAUUUUUUGAUAUAUAAAUGUUCCCGUUUAACAAACAGGGGCGUCCAAGAAGGAGAUUCGCUGUCCAGAGCCUCCAAAAUUUGUGGUCAAAGUAUUGACGGCUUGGACGAGAAAAGUGAAACCACGUCUUCCAAGUCAUGUUUAAGGCAGAAAGUGGUAGAUAACAUUAGCUCAGAUAAUAUACCACUGAAAAGAUCAUCUAAAUCGUCCCAAACUAAUUUACUCAUAAAGAUGGUCUGUGGUCAUACAAGUGAUAAAACCGCGACUUCGUCAGGGUCUAAAAGAGAACUAAGCAAUUUAACAAAAAUCCCGUCUACAGAAUCUAAAAAUGAUAAGCAGUUCAUACAUGAAGCUACAAGAUGCAUUCAAACAGAAAUAAGUAUUAAUCCUCAAAUAGCAGAUCCUUCCUUAUCUGACAUAAAUAUAGUCAGUGAAGCAGAUUGUGUUAAAUUGAUUAGUGAACAAUAUAAGGAAGUUAAAAAUCUAAUUUCUAAGACAGAUUUACGCAGUCGAGAGUGGCAAAGUGACGCGGAAGCUGGCACUAGUACUGAGACUGGCAGAAAUCGUGCUACUUCUGAAGAUAGUGUGGAGGAAUUACUUGAAGAUGUAAGAGACAUACCAUUUUUUGAAAGUGAUGCCAACAAACACGCAUGUGAUCUUCUAAAAAUUUCAAAACAAGAUGUUGUUACUGAGAAUUUUACCAUACCAAUACAAGGUACAAAUAUGAAAUUAAUGGUAAGCAUAGGUUCUAAUGAACGAAGGGAAUUAAAUGAUGAAAAAAUUAUUCAAGAGUCAUCUAAAGGCGUUGGUACUGAGCAGCGUCUUUUCGUUGAAGAGUCUACAUCGUUGUUAGAGGAGUGCUCUAAAGGCGUGCAAUAUCGAAAUGACGCAAACGUGCUAACAGAUAAAAGUUCAAAUGCAUAUAUAAAAGAUAUGGAUAAUAAGAGUAACAGUAUUUCGGGCAAUAAAAAUAUACCCACAUUAAAAGGCUGUUUAGUUAAUACUUGCAUGACACAAGAUGAACCGAAAUAUAAUACAUAUCCGAUGAAUGUUGCGUCAUUCGAAAAGAAACCUUUUCUUCGAUCUAAUACUGAUACUGGAGUUUUGGGUUCCAGUUCUAUUCAAACGGACAGUAUCAAUAAAAAAGACAUGAGCACUCAACAAGAUUUUGCGUUUGGAGAUACAUGCGUAAAACCUAAACAUGAUGAGCUUACACAGGACAUUGUAGUUCAAAAGUCAAAAGGCAAUCAAAUAAUUAGUGAAAAUAUCUUAACGGAUACUGUAUAUGGUAAACAGAUAGGGGUGCAAACUGACGCCACGAAAGACAAUUCUGAUGGUUGUCGCAAUGAGAAAGAUAAAAUCAAAGAAAGGAAUAAUAUACCACAAAAACCACCAUGUAAUUGUGAGCAGCAAUUACAAAAUACAGAAGUUUUUACAAAAUCCAAGAUACCAGCAAAUUACAAAGUUCAACAAUCAUGUUCAGGAACAGCCACUGAUAGUCAUGAAUCUGAGAAAUCUAAAAGUACAACUAACGAAGAAUGCAUUCGAUCUUUUAAAAAUAAAAAGAAUGAAGAAGCUUACAAAGAUCCAGUUUUGAGCAUGAUAAAAAAUAUCACAAAGCGGUAUUCCAAGGACGACAUAGAACAGAGUAAGAGGAAGAAAUGUUUCAAAGAAAUCGUAACAGUUCUGAACUAUCUUUUAGACACUGAUGAAUCUACAGAUCGCGAACCCAAACCUACAACCAGUUGUACUGAAAGUAGUUCUGAAACUAUCAAACCAGAGAAGGAAAAGGCAGAAUGCUGUCAAACAAAAACAUUGGUGGAUAAAGCUGUACAAUCAUCUAAGAAUAAAGGAUGUCGAAGUACAGUAUCAUCAGAAUUACCAACAUCAACUGAUAUUCCUGGCACAUCUUCGGAUUCUGCCACUUGUAAGGUACUGAGUAAGAUCAAGAAGGAAUGCGAAAAGUACCAUCAAAAGCGAUGCAAAUCACACACUGCGAAAAAAUGCGAAAUUUCUAGUACCACGUCGGUGAGCUGUGAUCAAUGCCGUCGCGUGCACCACUGCCCCUGCCGAUAUCAUAAAUGCAAACAUCAUAGAUCCAAAUCUAAUGCAGAGAAGGCCCAGAAAAAAUCGGUCGCUUACAACUUAAUUAUACAAACUUCGGAAAGUAUGAUUAGUGAGGAAACUUGUGACAAUAAGUGCCGGCCAUUACAGAAUAUAAUAGUCAAGGUCCCGUCUAAAAAGAAAGUAGAAAAGGUGCCUUUUAAAGAGGUAGAGAGUAAGAUAGAGAAACGGAUGUAUUGCAGUCCACGGUGUGACAAGUCGCAAAGGUCUAGGAGCUUGCCGAAUGAAUGUGACAUGUCAAGUAACGAUGAUUGUCUGAAAAGGGCCCAGGCGUGCACCGUGCGUGAAUAUUUGGAGAUAAAUCGGCCCGAUUUUGUUGAGAAAUGUUCUCAACGGCAGAAUAAUUUGAAGGUCAUCAGUGAAUCAAGAGAUCAAGACGCGACACCACGUUUGAAAAUGGUUGUCGUCCACACGCCCAAUUGUGUGGGACCCAUGGCCAAUAUGUACUGUACGGGAGGUGUACCGUAUUAUAACCAAUGCUAUGACCAAUGUGGCCAAAAUAUACAAAGUGAGGUAACAAGAAUUGAGCAAAUGAGCGGGCUGCCCACCGGGACCUGUUGUCAAUGCACCUGGACCAACAACUGCCGCUGAACGCGCUCAAUGUUCAAGAAAUACGCCAUCUAGCGGCACAUUUCGGCAUCGAUACAGCACGGAAAAACCGUGCUCCAAAAUUUAUAAGUGAAAGGGAUAUGAAAAAACAUUCGGAGAAAAUUUAUAAAUCACUACCGGAAGUUGUCAGAAAGAAGGAGGAAAUUAAAAAGGAAAAUAUCAAAAAGACUAAUUUGCUGAUGGCGAACAUAUUCAAAAAGAAUCUCCAAAAGAAAACACUGCGCGGUGCGGUGAACCUUUCAAAUUAUAGCACUGUCAUCAAAAUAUGACGAAAAACGAAUACCAAAUUUGACGAAAUGUGUUCAUACAUUAACACUUGUUAUGCAUUUUCAAUUGAUGUAUUUUUAUAAUGAUUGUUUACUUGUUUUGUCGUUUUUGAAUUAAAUAUUUGUGAAGAAAA